GCACUUUUAGCUUAAUGGUAAAGUAAUUAGUUUCGGCCUAAUUGAUAUUGGUUCGAUUCCGAUAAGGUGUU
rnacentral:tRNA from 1 species